AACACAAUCUUCAUCAUCACACAAGACAAAAGAACAACAAUGAACACAAUCACCUUCUUCAUCUGGACUCUCACACUGUUUAUUCAAGAGUGUAGAGGACAGUACACUGUAACUCAGAGUCCAUCAAUAAUUCAGACUCAACCAGGACAAGAAGUCAGAAUAAACUGUAAAAUCAGCAGUGCAGUGUAUAGUAGUAAUUACUUACACUGGUACUUACAGAAAUCUGGAGAAGCUCCUAAACUCCUCAUAUAUUAUGCAACAACCCGUUAUACUGGAACUCCAUCUAGAUUCAGUGGCAGUGGAUCUAACAGUGAUUUCACUCUGACCAUCAGUGGAGUCCAGACUGAAGAUACAGGAGAUUAUUACUGUCAGAGUUACCACAAUGAUCCAGUGUUCACACAGUGAUAAAGAGUGGUACAAAAACCUCGGUCAGUCAGACGUCACAGUGAUGCACUGAUACAGCUGAGAGAUACUGCAGCUGCUGAUGGAGGAUCACAAACAACACAAUGGUGUAUCAAACCUUUCAGAAACUAUUUAUUUAUUUAUUUAGAUGUACUAAGCAUGUAACAUAAUCUUUAUAUUAUAUAAAUGUUAGUGGUGUUUGGUCCUGCAAAACUUUCCACUACAAUGUAAUCUAACUGCAGGAAAGUCUGUCACUUUAAUUGCACUUCCAUGCUUCAUCACUAGAUGGCGUGUCUGUUACAUAACUGAGUUCUCUAUCUGUCAGUCACUUUGACGUUGUGUCGAUGUGAUGACACUAGUGUAGAGUUUCUCAACCUUUUUUACUCGAUGGCCUCCUCCUUCACCAGAUCAAUACUGCAGUGAAGAUGCCUGACAUUUCCUCUUAUACUGUACUUCCACAGCAAAGAGAGAAAAGUGUUUGUAUUUAAGCCUUUUUAUUAACAAAACAUUUGUCUGCAUUAUUACUCUUCUACUGCAUGUUUUGUAAUAUUUUUUAAUAUUCUUUUUGAAAAUAUAAUUGUUAAAGUUAAAAAAUUCCUCUGCUAAAUUAUAAUACUCUGAUGUUACCCAGGUCGAGUGAUUUUAUCUGUGCCAACAGAACGAUUGAGACUCCCAUCUAAAGCCUGUCGGUUCAUCCCUGAUAACAAGAACUUAAUGCUGUUGGACAGGCUGUCUCUGAUAUACAUGACAUGGACAUGAACGAGGAUAGUCCCGACCCAACACACAUGCAGGAACUAUGAUCGUCUACCGAUUUAUUAAUAAUUAAUAAUCAUCCAUAAUUAAUAAUCAUCAAAUGUGAGGUAAGAUUAGUAUACGCACAUCAGAAGGCCUUUUCUGUAUAUUCACAUUUCAUAAUGGAUAUAUUAUCAGGGACCCCAAGAGUUAAAUAAAAACAAACAAAACAAGCCAUAUAAUGUACUAAAAUAACACAUAUUAUGAAGACACUUCAAAUUUAAUAGUAUUAGAUGAUCUGAUAGUUUGACAUUUGCAUUUUGUUUAAAGGUGUUUUUAUGGAUGUUUUGGCUGAGUUUUCUCAUAAUA